AUUGAACGCUGGCGGCAGGCCUAACACAUGCAAGUCGAGCGAGCGGCGGACGGGUGAGUAAUGUAUGGGGACUGCCCGUUAGAGGGGGAUAACUACUGUAAACGGUGGCUAAUACCGCAUACUAUCGGAUAACCCAUAUGGGAUUAGCUAGUAGGUGGGGUAAAGGCUCACCUAGGCGACGAUCCUUAGCUGGUCUGAGAGGAUGAUCAGACACACGAGGACUGAGACACGGGCCAGACUACUACGGAGGCGACAGUGGGGAAUAAUGAACAAUGGGCGCAAGCCUGAUGCAACCAUGCCGCGUGUAUGAGGAAGGAAUUAGGGUUGUAAAGUACUGUAAGCGGGGAAGCGUUACCCGCAGAAGAAGCAACGGCUAACUCCGUGCCAGCAGCAGCGGUAAUAC
rnacentral:rRNA from 1 species